rnacentral:rRNA from 1 species
UGUGGUUACAAUAGCAGAGAGGAUACACCUGUUCCCAUUCCGAACACAGAAGUUAAGCUCUCUAGCGCUGAUGGUACUUGGUGGGAAACUGC